rnacentral:tRNA from 1 species
GGCUCCGUGGUCAAGCGGUUAAGACACCGCCCUUUCACGGCGGUAACACGGGUUCGAGUCCCGUCGGAGUCA